AAUAGAAGAAUGACAAAUAAAAUUUUUCCUCCUGAUUUUUAACUUUUUCCUAUUGAAAAAAAUUCAAAUCCAAUUAAAAAUCCAAAAAAUCAAGAGAACUGGAUUUGAAUUUUUUCAGUAGGAAAAAGUUGAAAAUCAAGAGAAAAAAAUCUAAUUUGUCAUUCUCCUAUU
rfam:Gossypium hirsutum cultivar TM-1 unplaced genomic scaffold scaffold913.1, whole genome shotgun sequence